UACGUAGGUGGCAAGCGUUGUUCGGAUUUACUGGGCGUAAAGAGCGCGCAGGCGGUCGUAUAAGUCGAAUGUGAAAGCCCCCGGCUCAACUGGGGAGGGUCAUUCGAUACUGUUCGACUCGAAGGCAGGAGAGGGAAGUGGAAUUCCGGGUGUAGUGGUGAAAUGCGUAGAUAUCCGGAGGAACACCGGUGGCGAAGGCGGCAUCCUGGACCGGUAUUGACGCUGAGGAGCGAAAGCCAGGGGAGCAAACGGG
rnacentral:rRNA from 1 species